rnacentral:lncRNA from 1 species
CAGACUUUGAGUUGAUCAGCAGCACAGGAGAGCUGGCAUCUGAAGAAGUGGAGUAAUGAUAAGCCAUGUGUCCAGGUAAUGACUCUGCUGCUUUUAGAACUGCAGCUUCUUCCAGCUGCGGGGGCCUCUGGGAGCAUAAAUUGGCAGACUGGAACAGUGGGGAGAGGGGCCAACUUUGGUAUCAGGAAGACCUGGGCUCCAGUACUGCUUCUGACACAUACAGGCUUUGUUACUCUGGACACAACUUGUGGCACUUGGCAGCACUCAUAAGCCUGAGAAGAGAAGAAAGCAUAAGAGAUAAUGUGGCAGGUCUACGUGCAGGAGGGACUUCAGGGAGUUGA